GAUGAACGCUGGCGGCGUGCUUAACACAUGCAAGUCGAACGAAGCACCUUGAUUUGAUUCUUCGGAUGAAGAUCUUGGUGACUGAGUGGCGGACGGGUGAGUAACGCGUGGGUAACCUGCCUCAUACAGGGGGAUAACAGUUAGAAAUGACUGCUAAUACCGCAUAAGACCACAGCACCGCAUGGUGCAGGGGUAAAAACUCCGGUGGUAUGAGAUGGACCCGCGUCUGAUUAGGUAGUUGGUGGGGUAACGGCCUACCAAGCCGACGAUCAGUAGCCGACCUGAGAGGCUGACCGGCCACAUUGGGACUGGGACACGGCCCAAACUCCUACGGGAGGCAGCAGUGGGGAAUAUUGCACAAUGGGGGAAACCCUGAUGCAGCGACGCCGCGUGAGCGAUGAAGUAUUUCGGUAUGUAAAGCUCUAUCAGCAGGGAAGAAAAUGACGGUACCUGACUAAGAAGCACCGGCUAAAUACGUG
rnacentral:rRNA from 1 species